rnacentral:lncRNA from 1 species
UAGUCUUCACCCACAACGGGAACAAAAUGAAUAGAAAUAAGCUGGAAGAAAUUAGGAAAGGACCUCUCAAAAUUCUAAGAAGGAUUUCAAACUCCAUAUAUGAAGUGGAUAACGGUAAUCGGAGAUCUGAUGGGAAUUUCUUCCACUCAAGUAAGCUGAUCCCUUAUAGAGAAGAUAAUUAACGAUGAGUAGCACGACAGGCUGUGUUUCACGGAUAGAACGAUCUUCCUUUGUUUUACGGACGACCAUUUCAAGAAGCACGUUUUUCCCAAAUGGACGGACAGAGAGUUGCAUUAGAGACAGGCAAGGUUACAGAAUAGUUAUUUAAGAUUUUAAAGACUGAAGAUUUAAGAUUUAAAGACUGAAGAAGAAAUAUCGGUAGCUGAGGACGUUGAAAAUCGAUUCUCGAUUUUCAGGAACGUGUGCUGAUAUUUGAUCGUCAUCAAGGAAGCCGUGCUUUGCUGUAAUAUUAAUGAAUCAGCGUAUAUUUAUACUUGGGAAAAUAUUAAAUGAAGAUAAUAUAUAGGAUAAAGUGGAAGAUAAUAUUUCAACAGAUAUCACAGAAAUAUAGUAGAAAUAUAGUACGAUGAUUAUGAUAAUAUGGACAUGAU